AUUUUUUGCUUUCAAAUUUUGAAUUCCAACACUGAUCCCCAAAUACCAUUAUCCCGCUUAUUCUUUUCAUUUGCAAAGGCCAGGAAGAACAAGAGAGAGAGAGAAGGGAAGGAGAAUCUCUAGAGAAGGUAGAGGUGGCAAAGGAAACUAGGAUUACGGCGAAGGGGUUUCGUUAUAAACAUGUUAAACUCUGAAAUGAAAAGGAUGUGUGACAGGGAUUGGGGCCUUAGUCUACCAGCAUCAAGAAAGCAGAGAAAGAUGUGAAGGAUAUGGCCAAAAGGAUCAAUGAUUUAUGUGGUAUUAGGCUAUACGGUAUGGGGAUCGGCUUUGGACCGUCCCCUACCGUCGCCGAUCCAACCUCCAUGCCGCCCCUCUUCGUCUUCAUCUCGUCCCCGUCUUCACCGUCGACAUACCGACGUCCAGGACGAUCCAAAUGGUGGGGCACCUUUUGUUUGUUUGUUUGUUUGUUUGUUUGUUUGUGAAUGGGAGGCUUUAGUGAGGUUUCCGGCGGUUUACCGGCGACACAGUGAGGUUUUCCGGCGGUUUUGAGAGAGGAAGAGAGAGGAAUAAAUAGUAGAGAGAGGAAGGUGAUGGUUGUUAGGAAAUCGAAAAAGAAAGAGAGAGAGAUGAUAA